rnacentral:lncRNA from 1 species
GGGUAACACGGCGAGAUCUCUGCCUCUAAAAAAAAAAAUCUAAAAAUUUGCCAGGAGUUCAAGGCUGCAGUGAGCUAGGAUUGCACCGCUGCACUCAGUCUGGGCAGAACUCCUACUUUCCAUGAUAUAACUUAGGAAAGCCACUUUAUCUCUCUGAGCCCCAGUUUUUGUAGUUAUAAUAUGGCAAUCAUACUCCCUGCUUUACAGGAUCAGUGUUGGUUAUUGAGUGAAAUAGUUUAGGCAGAAGGACGUAGCCCAGUGCCUGACACAGAGGAAAUACCCUGUGAAUGGCAAUGAUCAUGAUUCCUAACAGUCGCUGAUAAGGACCGACAUUAAUUCAAGAAUUAUUUGUUGAGUGCCUGCUAAGUCCUAGAGUGGUAAAUAAAAGAGACAGGGCUCCU